rnacentral:rRNA from 1 species
UACGUAGGGGGCAAGCGUUGUCCGGAUUUAUUGGGCGUAAAGAGCGUGUAGGCGGCUAGGUAGGUCCGUUGUGAAAACUCGAGGCUCAACCUCGAGCUGUCGAUGGAAACCAUCUGGCUAGAGUCCGGAAGAGGAGAGUGGAAUUCCUGGUGUAGCGGUGAAAUGCGCAGAUAUCAGGAAGAACACCCGUGGCUAAGGCGGCUCUCUAGUACGGUACUGACGCUGAGACGCGAAAGCGUGGGGAGCGAACAGG